rnacentral:rRNA from 1 species
GACGAACGCUGGCGGCGUGCUUAACACAUGCAAGUCGAACGGAAAGGCCCUGCUUUUGUGGGGUGCUCGAGUGGCGAACGGGUGAGUAACACGUGAGUAACCUGCCCUUGACUUUGGGAUAACUUCAGGAAACUGGGGCUAAUACCGGAUAGGAGCUCCUGCUGCAUGGUGGGGGUUGGAAAGUUUCGGCGGUUGGGGAUGGACUCGCGGCUUAUCAGCUUGUUGGUGGGGUAGUGGCUUACCAAGGCUUUGACGGGUAGCCGGCCUGAGAGGGUGACCGGCCACCUUGGGACUGCGAUACGGCCCAGACUCCUACGGGAGGCAGCAGUGGGGAAUCUUGCACAAUGGGCGGAAGCCUGAUGCAGCAACGCCGCGUGCGUGAUGACGGCCUUCGGGUUGUAAACCGCUUUCGCCUGUGACGAAGCGUGAGUGACGGUAAUGGGUAAAGAAGCACCGGCUAACUACGUG